rnacentral:rRNA from 1 species
GAAUGUCUUCAUUAAUCAAGAACGAAAGUCAGAGGUUCGAAGGCGAUCAGAUACCGCCCUAGUUCUGACCGUAAACGAUGCCAACUAGCGAUCCGCCGGCGGAUUUCUCGCCCUGGUGGGGAGCUUCCCGGAAACGAAAGUCUUCCGGUUCCGGGGGAAGUAUGGUUGCAAAGCUGAAACUUAAAGGAAUUGACGGAAGGGCACCACCAGGAGUGGAGCCUGCGGCUUAAUUUGACUCAACACGGGGCAACUCACCCGGGCCGGACACCGCGAGGAUUGACAGAUCGAGAGCUCUUUCUUGAUUCGGUGGAUGGUGGUGCAUGGCCGUUCUUAGUUCGUGGAGCGAUUUGUCUGGUUUAUUCCGAUAACGAGCGAGACUCUAGCCUGCUAAAUAGUGGGGGCAUUGCCUCGUGCCCGCCGCUUCUUAGAGGGAUUGGCGGCUCCCAGCCGCACGAAACUGAGCAAUAACAGGUCUGUGAUGCCCUUAGAUGUCCGGGGCUGCACGCGCGCUACACUGGCGAAGACAGCGUGCCUGUCCUGCCGCGAAGGCGGUGGGUAAACCAUUGAAAAUUCGCCGUGAUUGGGAUCGGAGAUUGCAAUUAUUCUCCGUGAACGAGGAAUUCCAAGUAAGUGCGAGUCAUCAACUCGCGUUGAUUACGUCCCUGCCCUUUGUACACACCGCCCGUCGCUGCCCGGGACUGAGCCAUUUCGAGAAAUUU